GCCAUCAUAGCUUAGUGGUAGAGCAUCGGUCUUGUAAACCGAAGGUCGUGGGUUCGAUUCCCAUUGGUGGCU
rfam:Eimeria brunetti, Houghton, WGS project CBTX01000000 data, contig: Ebh_contig401_1